rnacentral:rRNA from 1 species
UACGAGUGCCCCAAGCGUUAUCCGGAAUCAUUGGGCGUAAAGGGUGUGUAGGCGGUCUUCUUAGUCUUCUGUCAAAUUCUUCGGCUCAACCGGGGGUCGGCAGGGGAAACGGGAAAACUAGAGGGUGCGAGAGGUGAAUGGAACUCAUGGAGUAGGGGUGAAAUCCGUUGAUAUCAUGGGGAACACCGAAAGCGAAGGCAAUUCACUGGCGCAUCUCUGACGCUGAGACACGAAAGCGUGGGUAGCGAACGGG